rnacentral:ncRNA from 1 species
CGGCCUGAGGUCGGACGAGGCUACCCGCUGAAUUUAAGCAUAUUACUAAGCGGAGGAAAAGAAACUAACGAGGAUUCCCUCAGUAACGGCGAGUGAAGCGGGACGAGCCCAGCGCCGAAUCCGGCCGCUUAUGGAGCGGACGGAAUUGUGGCGUAUGGAAUUCGCUUCGAGCGCGGACCGGCUGCCCACGUCCUUCUGAUCGAGGCUUCAUCCCAUAGCGGGUGUCAGGCCCUUGGCGGCGGCUGGCCCGGGCUCUCGGUGUCUUCCCGGAGUCGGGUUGUUUGGGAAUGCACCCCAGAGCGGGUGGUAAACUCCAUCUAAGGCUAAAUACG